CCGCCGGUAGUGUGAGAAGUUCAUUAAACCUUAUCAUUUAGAGGAAGGAGAAGUCGUAACAAGGUUUCCGUAGGUGAACCUGCGGAAGGAUCAUUGCACACACAAACUGCAAAGCCAACCCCAAACUUGGGUUCCGGCGCGCGCUCCUCGGGGUGGCGCCGGGACUCAUGAGAAUGCGAGUUUUACCUUUACCAUUCUGAAGCUCUUCGGGUGCUGCUGCUUCUGAGCGGGCACUCCGCGCGGGCUACUCGGGCGUCCUCCUCCUCUUCAAGGCUGCAUUCCAGCUCCUCAAGCCUGUCGCCCCCGGCCGGAAGUUUGCCUCGCUUGGUGGCUCGGUCUAGGCCGAAUCCACUUAGCGGGUCACGCGACUGGAUCCGGGAUUAGUACCGGCAGGCUGGGGAGUGCUACCGCGGGAGGCUAGGGAGGGUACCAGCGCCCGAGUACUCGUUGUGGUGGUGGCGCGAGGGCCAGCAGCAGUACUCCGUUGGGUGGAAGCCCGAUGAAAAAUAUUCUAAGUCCCCAAGACUGAGGACCCUUAUUUUGACCCGAGAGUUCGAGUCCUUCGGGGCUCGAGCACGAGUUGAAUCUAAAACUUAACUUAGAACAACUCUCAGCAACGGAUAUCUUGGCUCUUGCAACGAUGAAGAACGCAGCGAAAUGCGAUACGUAGUGUGAAUUGCAGAAUUCCGCGAAUCAUCGAGUUUUUGAACGCAAGUUGCGCCCGAGGCUUGUCCGAGGGCAUUUCCGCUAGAGCGUCACCGCGCCCCCCCACCACACUCUCUUAGAGUGUGAGUGGAACUGGCCGUCCCGGCACAUCGGGUCGGCUGAACUGGAGGGAAUUUGGCCGCCGUGGCAUCACUUGCCCCGCGAUCAGGUGCGAUACUCGAAAGAGUUUCAUUCCAAGUGCGGGGCUCCCAGUGAGCCCGAGUGCGUGCCCCGAGUUCCACAGCAGGCUUACCUUGAGCAGCACCUCGAGUGCUGCAAAAGCGUGAAGAGGUAACGCAUCAGACCUCUAAUCGGAAAAGACUACCCGCCGAGUUUAAGCAUAUACAAG
rnacentral:rRNA from 1 species